GGUUCCAUAGUGUAGCGGUUAGCACGUCUGCUUUACACGCAGACGGCCCUGGGUUCGUACCCCAGUGGAGCCA
rfam:Pteropus alecto contig54487, whole genome shotgun sequence.